AGCUCAGAGGUUAGAGCGUCUGCCUGCAAUGCGGGAGACCUGGGUUCGAUACCUGG
rnacentral:tRNA from 1 species